AGCAGGGGUUGUUAAGAGCCCAGCCCAAGGUUUAAUUAACACCAGGGCCCUGGCCUCUGUAGCUCCAAAUGGCCGCGAGGAGGGGCUGGCAUCCUGAGCUGGGUCAUGGCCUCAGCAACCAUCUACACUGAGCAGAAAGGAGUUCAGAGGGGAAAUCCCUGGAUCAGAGUCCUCUUCUACUGUUUCUGCCAUUCUGCCUGUGAGUGUUGAAGCUGUUCCCUCUAAGCCUCCUCCCCCCUGAAAUGGGGAUGAUGGGCCUCCUGCCUGCACGCAGCAAGUGAAAAGUGGCCAGUGUCGGUGCCGCUGUAUCACGCCAACACCUUGUGCAGGAAACAGCCGGAACACGGACUGAUGAAUGUACAAGCUUGCAAGAGGCCAGGCUGGUCCUGAGAUGCAGAGCUGGCUCUGGCAUCAUGCUUUGUCCUGCCCUAGGAGUGCCACUCAGAGGAGGAUCUGGUGAUUAGAUGAUUCUAGGACACUGAGGAAGACUGCUGGUCACAGAGAGGGUGUCCUGGCUAGGCCAGGGUCCCUGGAUGUAUCGGAAUUCUCAAGCUAUAAGAAUAAUAAUAGCAGUGCAUGGCUGAGAGAGGGGACAAGGUGGAAUGCCUUGGGGAAUUAGGGAAGCACCUCUCUUGGUCAACAUGCACGGGCUGAUGGACAAGCAUCUGAAGUACAUGAGCACGAGGAAGGCAGCUCUGGUGGGCACAGCCUCCCUCCCCAGCAGUCAAUUCUCCAGAGCACAGGUCAGGGCUGAGGUGCCCUUCAGCUCCAGUCUCUAUGCCAGCUAGACCUUUUGUGCAACCACUAGACCAGCUCUGAGGUCAAGGUCUUCAGUGACCUGGAGGUUCUGGAGAACUUGGAGGUGAAAUGCAGGUCCCAUGUCAUGCAGGCCUUUGAGAGGAGACUCCUUUGGGCUGCCCAACUUCAUCACAUAUGAAGUUAGUGUGUCAGACCCUGAAGCUGGCAGAAGAGACAUUGGACAGGUUCUGCACCUUGGUCUCAACCCCCACAGCAUAAAGGAAUGGUUGACUGAAUGAGUG